rnacentral:misc_RNA from 1 species
GGGUACUCUUCUACAUUUGUGUGAUGAUGUGAUUCAGCAAGAGGUAAAGGAAGUUAUUAUAUCAUUUUUCAUUUUGAUGGAACAGGGUAAAGCUACUUUGGAGGAUCUUGAUCUGCGCUGCGAGGAGUUACUAAAAGAAGAGUUUGGUGUACGCUGUAAUUUUGAUGUAGAUGAUGCUGUUCAGAAACUAGAUAAAUUAGGCAUUGUUACUCGGGAUACAAUUGGACGGUAUUAUUGUGUUGGUCUCAAGCGUGCAAAUGAGAUAAUUGGGACUACAACGGAAGAGCUUGUUCUCAAAGCAAAACAGGGUGCAGUUUCUUCAUGAUGUUAUUUAUAUGCCAGAUGAUUAGCUUCUUCCUAUCCUUUUUUCCCCUCUUUUUGGCUUGUAAGAAAAAAAUUGAAUACCACACGUGGGGGUGUUGUAUUUUAUUCAUUACCUAUCUUGGAUGCUGCUAGUUUUCUG